rnacentral:rRNA from 1 species
UACGGAGGGUGCAAGCGUUGUCCGGAUUUAUUGGGUUUAAAGGGUGCGUAGGCGGCCAUUUAAGUCUGGGGGUGAAAGCCCGUUGCUCAACAACGGAACUGCCCUGGAAACUGGAUGGCUUGAGUACAGACGAGGGUGGCGGAAUGGAUGCUGUAGCGGUGAAAUGCAUAGAUAGCAUCCAGAACCCCCGAUUGCGAAGCAGCUGCCUAGACUGUAACUGACGUGAGGCACGAAAGCGUGGGGAGCAAACAGG